ACCUCGGAUCAGGUAGGAAUACCCGCUGAACUUAAGCAUAUCAAAA
rnacentral:rRNA from 7 species